rnacentral:tRNA from 1 species
GGAAGGGUGUCCGAGUGGUUAUGGAGCUAGGUUUAGGUUGACACAGCAACUCCCUAGUGCGAAAGCUCGCGGGUUCGAGUCCCGCCCCUUUCA